rnacentral:tRNA from 1 species
AUUUAAUCAGUUGGUUAGAGAGACUGGGUGAUAACCCAGAUGUCCCUGGUUCGAGCCCAGGUGGGACCA